CUAAGAAUAUUCCGCAAUGGACGGAAGUCUGACGGAGCGACGCCGCGUGGAUGACGAAGGCCGAAAGGUUGUAAAGUUCUUUUGCUGGGGAAGAAUAACCGCAGGAGGGAAUGCCUGUGGGAUGACAAGAACCGGCGAAUAAGCCCCGGCCAACUACGUGCCAGCAGCCGCGGUAACACGUAGGGGGGCGAGCGUUGUUCGGAAUUACUGGGCGUAAAGGGCAUGUAGGCGGCUUGGAAAGCCUGGCGUGAAAGUCUGCAGCUUAACUGCAGGGGUGCGCUGGGAACUGCUGAGCUUGAGUGACGGAGAGGGAGCUGGAAUUCCUGGUGUAGGGGGUGAAAUCUGUAGAUAUCAGGAAGAACACCGAUGGCGAAGGCAAGCUCCUGGCCGAUGACUGACGCUGAGGUGCGAAAGUGUGGGGAUCAAACAGGAUUAGAUACCCUGGUAGUCCACACAGUCAACGAUGUGCACUAGGUGCUGGGGCGGUAGCUUCGGUGCCGGAGCGAACGUGGUAAGUGCACCGCCUGGGGAGUAUGCUCGCAAGGGUGAAACUUAAAUG
rnacentral:rRNA from 1 species